GAUGAACGCUAGCGGCGUGCCUAAUACAUGCAAGUCGAGCGAACAGACGUGAAGCUGGAACCUGCGCAGUUAUCGGUGAACGGUAUACUAACUCCUUGUCAACUAACCUAUGAGCCGGGGAUAACUUCGUAAUACCUGAGGUAAUAUAGGAGAAUAUUUUGUAUCGCAUUAUUCAAUAGUAGAAGACGGUCUUGCUGUCACUCAUAGAUCGAGCCGCGCUGCAUUAGCUAAUUGGUAAGGUAACGGCUUACCAAGGCAACGAUGCAUAUCCGACGUGAGAGGAGGGUCGGCCACACUAGAACUGAGCCGCGGUCCAGACUCCUACGGGAGGCAGCAGUAGGGAAUCGUACGCAAUGGACGAAUGCGUGACGGAGCAACGCCGCGCGAGUGAUGGAGGUCUUCGGAUCGUGAAACUCUGUUGUUAGGGAAGAAGAAAUGUGUAAGUAACUGUGCAUAUCUUGACGGUACCUAAUCAAAAAGCAACGGCUAACUACGUG
rnacentral:rRNA from 1 species